AUCGUAGGUGGUUUGUUAAGUCGGGUGUGAAAUCCCAGGGCUCAACCCUGGAACUGCACUCGAUACUGGCAGGCUAGAGUUCGGGAGGGGGAAGCGGAAUUCCGUGUGUACGCAGUGAAAUGCGUAGAUAUACGGAGGAACACCUGAGGCGAAGGCGGCUUCCUGGACCGAUACUGACACUGAGGAUCGAAAGCGUGGGUAGCAAACA
rnacentral:rRNA from 1 species